rnacentral:rRNA from 1 species
GGAUGGGAGCUUACCAUGCAGUCGAGCGGGGAGAGUAGCUUGCUACUUUACCUAGCGGCGGACGGGCUGAGUAAUGCUUAGGAAUCUGCCUAUUAGUGGGGGACAACAUCUCGAAAGGGAUGCUAAUACCGCAUACGUCCUACGGGAGAAAGCAGGGGACCUUCGGGCCUUGCGCUAAUAGAUGAGCCUAAGUCGGAUUAGCUAGUUGGUGGGGUAAAGGCCUACCAAGGCGACGAUCUGUAGCGGGUCUGAGAGGAUGAUCCGCCACACUGGGACUGAGACACGGCCCAGACUCCUACGGGAGGCAGCAGUGGGGAAUAUUGGACAAUGGGGGGAACCCUGAUCCAGCCAUGCCGCGUGUGUGAAGAAGGCCUUUUGGUUGUAAAGCACUUUAAGCGAGGAGGAGGCUACCGAGAUUAAUACUCUUGGAUAGUGGACGUUACUCGCAGAAUAAGCACCGGCUAACUCUGUGCCAGCAGCCGCGGUAAUACAGAGGGUGCAAGCGUUAAUCGGAUUUACUGGGCGUAAAGCGCGCGUAGGUGGCCAAUUAAGUCAAAUGUGAAAUCCCCGAGCUUAACUUGGGAAUUGCAUUCGAUACUGGUUGGCUAGAGUAUGGGAGAGGAUGGUAGAAUUCCAGGUGUAGCGGUGAAAUGCGUAGAGAUCUGGAGGAAUACCGAUGGGGAAAGGAGCCUUCUGGCCUAAUACUGACACUGAGGUGGAAAACCUGGGGAGCAAACAGGGAUAGAUCCCCUGGGAGUCCAUGCCGUAAACGAUGUCUACUUACCCGUUGGGGCCUUUUAAGCUUUUGUGGCGCCGUAAACGCAAUAAUAAACCCCCUGGGAGAUCCGGCCCAAAAACUAAACUCAAAUGAAUUGCCGGGGGCCCCCCAACCGGGGGAACAGGGGGUUA